GAAGCUGCGCAUGAGCUAACUCGCUGGUUGUCCUAAGGUUAAGGCUCGGGUGGAAUAAUGAAGACCAGGAAUUUAGUUCCUGGCCUGUGGCAUGCUCCCCUGCCAGGGAUUGAACAAGCGCCACAGAUGUGACCCAAGCCGCUGCAGUGACAACGUAGGAGUUUUAACCAGCUGCCCCACAGGGGAACUCUUCCAUGGAAUAGAAGCAAUUGCUGUUUGAACAAAAGCUAGCAGUUUUAGUGACAAGUCUUGUCAGCAUUUAAAGAAGAAAAGACAGGCAUGAAAUCAACCGUGUUGUAAUUUUAAAUGGCCAUCAGCACCUUGACCUGAAAUAUCAAUCAGACUUUACAAUGACAACCUAUUUGGAAUUCAUCCAACAAAAUGAAGAACAAGAUGGAAUCCGAUUUAGUUGGAAUGUUUGGCCAUCAAGUCGACUAGAAGCUAUAAGAAUGGUGGUUCCAGUAGCAGCCCUAUUCACACCAGAUUUGCCAACUCUUCAGUAAGAACCUGUUGUGUGGAGUAGGACCACUUGCCGUGCAGUUUUUAAUCCUUUGUGGUAAUUAAAGUAUAUGGAAAAAGCUAAUGUGUCUGUAUGACUAAAAAUGUAGUUGCUUUCUUGCUCAUUUUUUUUUUUUUAAAUUUUAUUUUCCCACUGUACAGCAAGGGGGUCAGGUUAUCCUUACAUGUAUACAUUACAAUUACAGUUUUUCCCCCACCGUUUCUUCUGUUGCAACAUGAGUAUCUAGACAUAGUUCUCAAUGCUAUUCAGCGGGAUCUCCUUGUAAAUCUAUUCUAGGUUGUGACUGAUAAGCCCAAGCUCCCGAUCCCUCCCACUCCCUCCCCCUCCCAUCAGGCAACCACAAGUCUCUUCUCCAAGUCCAUGAUUUUCUCUUCUGAGGAGAUGUUCAUUUGUGCUGGAUAUUUCUUGCUCAUUUAUAUAAAAAUCUUUGUUUUUGUUUUGCAGGUUUUUUUUUUUUUCAAAUUAGUCAGAUCCAGAGAGCUACUAAAUCUUAGUACUAUUCUAAUUGUAAUUAGUUUAUAAGAAACCAAGCGCAAAAUUGUCCUUAUGUAAACUGUUAGAGCUUACCAGUAGUUUCUAGAUACUGGUGCUGGCUAUGUAUUAGUCCAUCUUGUGUCAUUUGAAAUGUGCUUUUUGUUUGUUUGUUUGUUUGUUUGUUUGUUUGUUUAGGUCCACACUGGCAGCAUACGGAGGUUCCCAGGCUAGGGAUCUAAUUGGGGCUACAGUUGCUGGCCACAGCCACAGCCACAGCAACACCAGAUCCAAGCCAUGUCUGCAAUCUACACAAAAGUACACAAAACCUCACAGCAAUGCCGGAUCCUCAAACCACUGAGCAAGGCCAGGGAUCAAACCUGUAUCCUCAUCAAUACUAGUGAUGUUUGUUAACCACUGAACCACGAUGGGAACUCCCCAAAUAGAUUCUUAUGUCGUGCUUUGUUAUCUUUAUUAUCACUACCUAAAAGCAUCUUCUGUACUUAUGCAUUUAUAUGUUUAUUGUCUUUUUCUUCUAGAAUAUAAGCUCUAUAAUAGGAACAUUUACUGCUUUAUCAUCAGCACCUAGAAUAAUGACAUUCAAUAAAUAUAUUUUUAUGGAAUAAAGUUUUCUAGAUCUGAGUAUAGAAGUAACUGAGUCAUUUGGAGAAAAAAUAGGAUUGUCUUAAUUUUAUUGUUGAUAUUUGCUAUAUAUUCAAAGUUAUAUUCAUUUUGGUGAACUUGUAUGUGUUAAAAGUCUGAAUUAAAUAUUGGCAACAGCUAAAAAUACAUGAUUUUUAAAGAUCACUUUAACUAUCUUUUGAAUGCAUUCAUGUUUCAGAAAGAAAUUAAUUUUAUUGAAAUUAGGAUUACUGUACAAUUGAGCUGAACCAUGAGCUAUUGUAUCUUUUUUUAAAACAGUCAUGUGGAUUAUCAAGCAAAAUUCUGGGCUUGUAACUUUUGCUAUCAAAGGAAUCAGGUAAGAAAACCCCCACUGCUGAUGUUAAUGCUAUAAUACUGUUCUAACUAUGCAUAAAAAUGCACAUAUAACAAUAAAGAUUAAAUAACUUUUUAUGUGAUGAAAAUAUCAAUUUUUUUAAUAAUUAAAUGAUCAGGAGUUCCCAUUGUGGCACAGUGGAAACAAAUCCAACUAGUAUAUAUUGAUUCCUGGCCUCUCUCAGUGGGUUGGGGAUCCAGUGUUGCUGUGAGCUGUGGUGUAGGUCACCGACACAGCUCGGAUCCCACGUUGCUGUGGCUCUGGUGUAGGCCAGCAGGUGUAGCUCUGAUUCAACUUCUAUCCUGGGAACUUCCAUAUUCUGCAGGUAUCCCCUCCCCCC
rnacentral:lncRNA from 1 species